CGUGCCAGCAGCCGCGGUAAGACGUAGGACGCAAGCGUUAUCCGGAUUUACUGGGCGUAAAGCGUCUGUAGGCGGUUCGAUAAGUUGGGCGUGAAAGCUCCGGGCUUAACCCGGAGAGGUCGUUCAAUACUGUCGAACUAGAGGACAUCAGAGGAGCAUGGAAUUUCCGGUGUAGCGGUAAAAUGCGCAGAUAUCGGAAGGAACACCAGUGGCGAAGGCGGUGCUCUGGGGUGGGCCUGACGCUGAGAGACGAAAGCUAGGGGAGCGAACAGGAUUAGAGACCCUGGUAGUCCUAGCCCUAAACGAUGGAUGCUAGGUGUGGGGCCGAGAAGGCUCUGUGCCGCAGUUAACGCGCUAAGCAUCCCGCCUGGGGAUUACGGCCGCAAGGCUAAAACUCAAACGAAUUGACGGGGCCCCGCACAAGCAGCGGAGCGUGUGGUUCAAUUCGAUGCUACACGAAGAACCUUACCUGGGUUUGACAUGUACGUGGUAGAGAAGCGAAAGCGGAUCGACCCUUCGGGGAGCGUACACAGGUGCUGCAUGGCUGUCGUCAGCUCGUGCCGUGAGGUGUCGGGUUAAGUCCCGUAACGAGCGCAACCCUUGCCCUUAGUUACAAGUGUCUAAGGGGACUGCCGGCGGUAAGCCGGAGGAAGGUGGGGAUGACGUCAAGUCAGCAUGGCCCUUAUAUCCAGGGCUACACACACGCUACAAUGGUCAGUACAAAGGGCAGCGAAGCCGCGAGGUGAAGCGAAUCCCAACAAAGCUGAUCUAAGUUCGGAUUGCAGGCUGCAACUCGCCUGCA
rnacentral:rRNA from 1 species